AGAAGGCUGCGUGUAGUUUUCGCCAGUGUGAACAAAGUUUGUAACGGAUACGUUAACACACUGAUGGCUACACCAGAUUCCAACAUGGGAACCGACUCCAGAGGUGGGAUAUUUGAGUGUCUGUGGAGGCCUCUGAGAAGAGUCUGGAGACUCCUGCGCUGCCGUGAGCCUG